rnacentral:ncRNA from 1 species
GUGUUAUAUGAAAGGCGAGGAAGCUAGCACUCCCCUGGACAAGGACGGAGAGGCCCUCGGCCUGACAACGUGCAUAUGAUUAAGGCCCUGACACCUGCUUCCCAGCAUCCGGCCAUGG